rnacentral:rRNA from 1 species
CGGAGGGGCGUAGCGUUGUUCGGAAUUACUGGGCGUAAAGCGCACGUAGGCGGACCAGAAAGUUGGGGUGAAGUCCCGGGCUCAACCUCGGAACUGCCUUCAAACUAUUGGUCUUGAGUUCGAGAGAGGUGAGUGGAAUUCCGAGUGUAGAGGUGAAAUUCGUAGAUAUUCGGAGGAACACCAGUGGCGAAGGCGGCUCACUGGCUCGAUACUGACGCUGAGGUGCGAAAGCGUGGGGAGCAAACAGGAUU